rnacentral:rRNA from 1 species
UGGGUGAAAGAAAACCAGCAAGUGGGUCCAAAGGAAUUGCAGAAGAACAUCAAAGAUAAGUUCAAGAUAGAUUUACCAUACAUGAGGUUGUUCAAUGGUAAACAACAUGCUAUGGAUUCUAUUUAUGGUAACUGGCAGGAAAGUUUUCAAUUGUUGUAUUCAUUCAAAGGUGAAGUGGAGAGGACAAGCCCAGGUAGUAUUGUAGAUAUUGAUCACCACACCGUGGAGUACACAUUCAGGGGAGUGACAAAGACCAAGGAAUGUUUUAGAAGGGUUUUUGUCUGCUUUGAGGCUUGUCGCCGGGGUUUUUUGGCAGGCUGCAGGCCUUAUUUGGCUAUUGAUGCUACUUUUCUCACAGGAAGGUUUAAAGGACAGUUAGUAGCAGCUUGUGCAGUUGAUGCACAUAGUUUUGUAUUUCCAGUUGCCUAUGGUGUGCUAGAGACAGAGUCUGAGGAGAGCUGGACUUGGUUUUUGCAUAAUCUCCGCCGGGCUAUUGCACAUCCCAAUGGGUUGGUCAUUCAUACAGAUGCCUGCAAAGGUUUAGAAGUGGCCGUGGACAAUGUGUUCCCUGGAGUAGAGCAUAGGGAAUGCAUGCGUCACCUUGCUGCAAAUUUCAUGAAGAAAUUCAAAGGAAAGGUGUAUACCGACAAUUUAUGGCCAGCAUCUUUGACAUGCAGUGUGAAGAAGCACAACUACCACUUGAGGCAGUUAUACAUGAAUCCCAAAGUGAAAGAAUACUUGGAAACACACCACUCCAAGUUAUGGGCUAGAAGCCAAUUCGGUGAAGUGAGCAAAGUUGACUAUGUGCACAAUAAUCUAGCAGAGUCUUUCAACUCAACGAUCCGGAAA